rnacentral:rRNA from 1 species
GUGCACGCUGGCGGUAGGCCUAACCCCUGCAAGUCGCACGGCAGCACAGUAAGAGCUUGCUCUUACGGGUGGCGAGUGGCGGACGGGUGAGGAAUACAUCGGAAUCUACUUUUUCGUGGGGGAUAACGUAGGGAAACUUACGCUAAUACCGCAUACGACCUACGGGUGAAAGCAGGGGAUCUUCGGACCUUGCGCGAUUGAAUGAGCCGAUGUCGGAUUAGCUAGUUGGCGGGGUAAAGGCCCACCAAGGCGACGAUCCGUAGCUGGUCUGAGAGGAUGAUCAGCCACACUGGAACUGAGACACGGUCCAGACUCCUACGGGAGGCAGCAGUGGGGAAUAUUGGACAAUGGGCGCAAGCCUGAUCCAGCCAUACCGCGUGGGUGAAGAAGGCCUUCGGGUUGUAAAGCCCUUUUGUUGGGAAAGAAGAGCAGCAGGUUAAUACCCCGCUGUUCUGACGGUACCCAAAGAAUAAGCACCGGCUAACUUCGUG